rnacentral:rRNA from 1 species
UACGUAGGGUGCAAGCGUUGUCCGGAAUUAUUGGGCGUAAAGAGCUCGUAGGCGGUCUGUCGCGUCGGUCGUGAAAACUUGGGGCUUAACCCUGAGCUUGCGGUCGAUACGGGCAGACUAGAGUUCGGCAGGGGAGACUGGAAUUCCUGGUGUAGCGGUGAAAUGCGCAGAUAUCAGGAGGAACACCGGUGGCGAAGGCGGGUCUCUGGGCCGAUACUGACGCUGAGGAGCGAAAGCCAGGGGAGCAAACGGG